GGCAGACGGGUGAGUAACAUGUAGGUAUCUGCCCUUUGGCCUGGAAUAACACGAGGAAACUUGUGCUAAUACCGGAUAAGUCUUUACGGAGAAAGCUUUAUGCACCAUUGGAUGAGCCUGCACUUGAUUAGUUUGUUGGUGGGGUAAUGGCCUACCAAGACUGUGAUCAAUAGCUGAUUUGAGAGGAUGAUCAGCCACAUUGGGACUGAGACACGGCCCAAACUCCUACGGGAGGCAGCAGUGGGGAAUCUUGCACAAUGGAGGAAACUCUGAUGCAGCGAUGCCGCGUGAGUGAAGAAGGCCUUUGGGUUGUAAAGCUCUUUCGUCGGGGAAGAAAAUGACUGUACCCGAAUAAGAAGGUCCGGCUAACUUCGUGCCAGCAGCCGCGGUAAUACGAAGGGACCUAGCGUAGUUCGGAAUUACUGGGCUUAAAGAGUUCGUAGGUGGUUGAAAAAGUUGGUGGUGAAAUCCCAGAGCUUAACUCUGGAACUGCCAUCAAAACUUUUCAGCUAGAGUGUGAUAGAGGAAAGCAGAAUUUCUAGUGUAGAGGUGAAAUUCGUAGAUAUUAGAAAGAAUACCAAUUGCGAAGGCAGCUUUCUGGAUCAUUACUGACACUGAGGAACGAAAGCAUGGGUAGCGAAGAGGAUUAGAUACCCUCGUAGUCCAUGCCGUAAACGAUGUGUGUUAGACGUUGGAAAUUUAUUUUCAGUGUCGCAGCGAAAGCGAUAAACACACC
rnacentral:rRNA from 1 species